rnacentral:rRNA from 1 species
UACGGAAGGGGCAAGCGUUGUUCGGAAUUACUGGGCGUAAAGCGUGCGUAGGUGGUGAGUUAAGUCUGUCGUGAAAGCCCCGGGCUCAACCUGGGAAUGGCGAUGGAUACUGGCUCGCUAGAGUGCGGUAGAGGAGAGUGGAAUUCCCGGUGUAGCAGUGAAAUGCGUAGAGAUCGGGAGGAACAUCAGUUGCGAAGGCGGCUCUCUGGACCAGCACUGA